GGUUGUGAUUUUAAUAGCUU
rnacentral:misc_RNA from 1 species